GGUGUAGCGCAGUUGGUAGCGCGCCUGCUUUGGGAGCAGGAUGUCGGGGGUUCAAAUCCCUUCAC
rnacentral:tRNA from 1 species